rnacentral:rRNA from 1 species
AUGCGAUCAUACCAGCACUAAAGCACCGGAUCCCAUCAGAACUCCGAAGUUAAGCGUGCUUGGGCGAGAGUAGUACUAGGAUGGGUGACCUCCUGGGAAGUCCUCGUGUUGCAUUCCCC